AUGCGCUUUGCGAAGAACGGAAUGUUGCUCGGCAAUGUAGCGUCCUCUUGCUCGGCGACUCACUCCGCCGUCUUCUCCUCCGCCUCCCCCUUCCGCCGAUGCCCUAGCAUUCGAGCCCGCUCCAGCUUCCUCACUGCCAUCAGAGCCCGUUCGGCUCCGGCGGAGAGCGGCGCCGGUUCCUCGAAAGCCGCGGACCGGCCCCGCGCCGGCGAGCGGUUACGCCGGCGUCAGGCUGCGGGAGACGGUCGACGCCGCGAAGCCCGGCAAGCUCAGGCUCGACGCCUGGAUCUCCUCUCGGAUACACGACGUCAGCAGAGCUCGCGUCCAGUCGAGCAUUCGAUCGGGCUUGGUCUCCGUCAAUGGCCGCGUCGUCGAUAAGGUCUCGCAUAAUGUCAGAGCUGGAGAUUUGGUGGAUUGCACGAUCUCGGAGCUGCAACCCCUGAGGGCGGAGCCGGAGGAUAUACCUGUGGACAUAGUGUACGAAGAUGACCAUGUGCUUGUUGUCAAUAAACCUGCACACAUGGUUGUUCAUCCGGCGCCUGGAAAUGCUUCUGGGACUCUUGUGAAUGCCAUUCUUCAUCAUUGCAGUCUUCCAACGGUUGCUUUUUCAGAAACAGAACUUCUUUCCGAGGGCGAGGAUGUGUCUGAUGAUGAGUCUAGUAGUUCUACAGCUUGUGAAACUUCUACUAAAGGAUUUAACUCCUCUGAAUCUGGAGGUUCUGUGCGUCCGGGCAUUGUACACAGGUUGGACAAAGGAACUAGUGGAUUGCUUGUUGUUGCGAAGAAUGAGCGUUCCCAUGCCCAUUUGUCCGAGCAAUUCAAGAUGCAUACCAUUCGGAGAGUGUACGUCAGUCUUACAAAUGGGGUUCCUUCUGCGACAUCUGGCCGCAUUGAGGUUCCAAUUGGUCGUGAUACAAACAACCGUAUUCGCAUGUCUGCUAUUCCAGGACCAAGCAAUGGGCGCCAGGCACGUUAUGCUGCCAGUAGGUACAAAGUAAUUGAAGUGCUCGCUGAUGGAAGCUCCGCUUUGGUCGAGUGGAGGUUAGAAACUGGGCGUACUCAUCAGAUUCGUGCCCAUGCAAAGUAUGUUGGAAUUCCUUUACUGGGUGAUGAGGUUUAUGGUGGGACAAAAAACAUGAUAUUGUCACUGCUGCAAGCCAAAUUACCAAUUGGUCGCCAAAGCCAGCUUUCAGAGUUGGUUUCUAAACUAGAAAGGCCUUGCCUCCAUGCUGUUUCUCUUGGGUUUAUACAUCCCUAUACAGGGGAAAAUGUGCAGUUCUCAUGUCAGCCACCUGAAGAUUUCUCUGAAAUAUUGUGUCAACUUCGCAGACUUGGCAUGAAGAAGCCUAGCUUGAAGACAUGAUUAGUCCUAGCAAAAGUUUCAGCUUAGUGGGUGCUCAUAUUAUUUGGAGCGAGCAGGCACGAGGUAGUGUGGAAGUCUCUGAGGCUGUCUUGUAGGAUGGUUUCAUCAGAAAUCCUAAUCGAAGUUGGACAAAGGGAUAGCGAGUGAUAUCACCAACUUGAUAAGUACGAGGGAAGAUCAAGUAAAACACCUUUAAAUGUAUUAUGGGGUGUCUAGACAGUUAUCCACAAUACUGAACGAUCACAUAUGCUUGCGACAAAGUACAUGAGAAUCGCAUGUGAUCAUGACAAUAUUAGACUCUUGGUUAUUGAAGGGUACCUGUACUAAACGAUGGCUUAGACCCUAUAGUUCUGGACGCGCAUCCACUUGGGAGCUGACCACUUUGUCCCUUUGAUCACGGGGCAGGCACCUGACAUAGACAGUAGAGAACGUCGAAUUAGGACAUGCAUAUUUGGCAUUUUUCUCAAGGGAAAUUGUUUAACCAAAUGCCGAUUUCAGUACAGGUUGUUCGUUCUCCCACGCUACACACGGCAGGAGCUAAAUUGGGAACUUAAUCACCAGAACAGGCAACUAACCAUGCAAACUUGUUGGGUCAAGCGUCCCGUCAGGCUUCAUGCUCCAGAAAAGUACUGCAUUCCCCAUUUUCGGUUUUACGGACAAUCCCCGUUUGCCACAUUCUGAUAACUCGUUCCACCAAGGCACGGCGCUGAAGUUUGCCUUGGCAGCUGGAAACACAGUCUCUCCCCCUUCCUCGACGUCACUCCUGGAUUAUCAUCAAGAGGAACUCAAUGGAGGACAUUAUAAAGAAUGUGUACUAUUUAUGUGAAGGGUGUUGAAUUUUGUGUUUAUUGUCACAUGCAUUUGGAAAUAGAGAUCGAUCCUUACAGAUACAUAAGCAUUGUUGCCAUUCUUUGGCCUCCAUUCCUAGUGUUGAAAGAGUCGGAAAAGUAGUCA